ensembl:lncRNA
CUUUAUUGAUCCAGACAUCUGAGGCGCCAUCUUUAUUUGAAAGUUGGAAACUUUUUUCAUCACAAGCUUCUGCCUGAAAACCUUUCUUCCAAUCUACAUUCUGCUGAAUUCCUCAAUCUCCCAUGUGUAUUUUAUACAGUAUACCUUCACUGUGCAUGUCCUGACAACAUAUGUGCACAUAAAUUGCAGUUAUAAUGGGCAAGUGCAGUAUAGGCGAAAUUCUCAAUUUCUUCAUUUACAUUCAAGGGGGCAUCGACAUGAAAAUACUGGCAUUAUCAACAUUUUAUAAACUUUUGCUGUAUUGUGUUUGUG